rnacentral:rRNA from 1 species
CUACGGGUCGCUCCAGUAAGGAAUAUUGCGCAAUGGAGGCAACUCUGACGCAGCCAUGCCGCGUGCAGGAAGAAGGCCUUAUGGGUCGUAAACUGCUUUUAUUUAGGAAUAAACCCCCGAACGUGUUCGGGGCUGAAGGUACUAAACGAAUAAGCACCGGCUAACUCCGUGCCAGCAGCCGCGGUAAUACGGAGGGUGCAAGCGUUAUCCGGAUUUAUUGGGUUUAAAGGGUGCGCAGGCGGGCUAUUAAGUCAGUGGUGAAAUCCCGGGGCUCAACUCCGGAACUGCCAUUGAUACUGAUAGUCUUGAGUUUGGUUGAAGUGGGCGGAAUGUAGCAUGUAGCGGUGAAAUGCAUAGAUAUGCUACAGAACACCAAUCGCGAAGGCAGCUCACUAAGCCAAAACUGACGCUCAUGCACGAAAGCGUGGGGAUCAAACAGGAUUAGAUACCCUCGUAGUC